rnacentral:lncRNA from 1 species
AUGAGGCAGAGAGGAAGCGAGACGAGUGAGCAGGCCAAGUCCGGUUAUAUAUAUCUCUCCCAGUGCUUCCAAGGCUGCAGCCUCCGUAACCGCAAGAAAGAGUUUGCCGACCUGCAACGGCACCGUCUUUGCCGGGAGAACCCGGGCCUGUGCCACCUCCGCCACAGCCUCACGGGCAAAGGAAGAGCGUCGGAGGGUCUCCGCCGGAAGCAAGACGGCAGCAGGCCUUCUGUGGCCGUGAGCAGCUCGGCCCGGAUCCUGCCCCAGUGCCAGCUCAGCCACGUCCAGCGCUGCCGGGCCUGCCAAGCCUUCAACCGGGACCAGAACGAGAACGGCUGGGCUCCUUUGCAAGAAGAGGGCCCCGUCGGUGCAAGUGAGGCUCACCGAAACGUGAGGACAUCCCUUUCUUCUGAACGCCUUGGCAAAGUCCAGCACUGGCUGGAGCAGACCUGGGAAGAACGGCCACCAGAGCCGGACUGUCGGAGAUUGCCAAAACAGAGGACCCAACGCCCGGAAUUAUGCCCUGCUUAUGGGGGUCAGAAGGAAAGGGAGACUUGGAGCAGAGAUGCUGGAGAUGACCGGAGGGUGGACUCUACUGUGGACACCAGGCACCGGUGGAGGAGCCAUCCAGGAGAGAACUGUCAGGCACCUGCGCGGAUGGUGCCCCGUGGAGACGCCAGCCCUUCUCCCGCCACUUGCACCUGCCUCUUCUGCGAGCAGCAGAGACCUCGCGCCACGUUGGUCUCCGGCAAGAACCAGCGCGACCCUUCCGUGGCAGAAGUGGCCGUCCUCUUACAGGCGGAGAAGCGCGUGCCCCGGAUCGUGGAGGCCUUUGAGCGGAGGACCCGGUGGGAGGCCAAGAUGGCCCAGGAGGAGCAGGCCUUCAUGCCCACCGGACGCAGGGAGAUGGACAAGCCCACGCGAGGCCACCGCCGGUCCAGCAGCGCCGUGGCCCACAGAGCUCACGGCAGGGAGGAGGAAGAAAGGGGGCAUCAUCGGGAGUCCCGGGCCCGGGUCCCCAGGGGAAAAGCAGCCACACAGCCAAGGAGGUGCCCCAGUUUCAUCGACAGGCUGCGAGGGAUCCACUAG